GCUGGGCACAAUGGCACAUGCCUGUAAUCCCAGCUAUUUGGGAGGCUGAGGCAGUAGAAUCUCUUGUGCCCGUGAGUUUGAGACCAACCUGUGCAACAUAAUGAGACCCUGCCUCAA
rnacentral:sRNA from 1 species